rnacentral:tRNA from 1 species
UGGCCCAGUAGUUUAGCGGUUAUGACGUAGGAUUCUGAUUCCUGAGAUCCAGGUUCGAUUCCUUGUUUUAA